ensembl:lncRNA
CUCGACAUCGGAGGCAGGCAGAUCCCAGUGGAACCACCAUCGACAGAAGCCUGAGGGACCGCUGUAGGAAGGAUGCCCAGACAUAUAACUGUUAUCAGAGUGUGUUUUACGAUGGGGGUGUGAGAGUGUGGCAGAGCACCCACCUGCUACAGACAGGUUGAGCAGACACUUUUUGACCAGAAAAUACCCAGGGCCCAAUAGGUGUAUGUAACCACCCCCACACAAAAGCAUCUAGUUAGGUAUUUGGGGAAGUUUUCAAACAACUUUGUUGCAGUACGUGGUUACAGAGAGUUUAAGACUACCAAGGUCCUAUUUUGCCACCCUGAGCGACGAUGGAACACCUUGGUGAAAGCGACUGCAGCCAGAAUCCUAAAGAUUGUGGAAGGUUUACUACAAAAAGCGUGAAAACAGACCUGCAGACACCUUCAAGAAAUACAAAAACAACUCGAAGCAUUGAGUGGCUUACCACAACCCUCAACAAGUAAGCCGUCCCUGGAUGGGUGUUCUCCAAAAGGACCAAAGUGGGUUAAACCCACAAUAAAAACGCCUGCGAUAGAGUCCACAUCCAAGGAUACGUGGGGAGGGCUGUGGUAUCCAUCAGAAGGCCCCGCGGUGUUUAAACCUUCAAUAAAAAGGCCUGCGUUAGCUCCCACCCGUCAGGACACCAGGGGAGGUAAUAAAGUUGUUAGUGCGUGUGUAAUGUAUUGUAAUAAUAUCUCUAUCCACUUCAUAUAACUUUAAAAAAAGUUUUUACACAGGUCUAUGGUUCCCUCCCAAAACACAAGCAAAAGGUUAAACACAAAAAAGGUUUAAAGACAGCCUUUGGCGGCGUGGACUACACCGAAUGAAGAGCCGGAACUUUUUACCCCAAGAUACGACAACCUAAUAAGCGAUGAGGAAUUAAUACGCCGUGUUGAGGCCCUCAAAUUGGACCUGGAGCCUCAUUUCUAAACGUUGCGUACGCAAUGCAAAAAAAAAAAGUUUUCUCCCAUCCUGCGACUCGAUAUUGUCACUCCCCCUGUGACAUCACUUAAGAGCCUAGUUUUCUGGGUUGGAGUGUGUUUAGCAAUUGCCUGGAGACACGUGUGGACAACAAAAACUGUGGUUUAAAUGAAUUCCUGAGUGAGAAUUUCAACCAAUAUCUAUUCACAGAUAGUUUCCAGACUGUAUUUCAAUGAGCAUUACUCAAAC